AUUGAACGCUGGCGGCAGGCCUAACACAUGCAAGUCGAGCGAGCGGCGGAAGGGUGAGUAAUGUAUGGGGAUCUGCCCGAGAGAGGGGGAUCACUACUGGACACGGUUGCUAAUACCGCAUACUUUCGGAUGAACCCAUAGGGGAUUAGCUAGUAGGUGGGGUAAAGGCUCACCUAGGCGACGAUCUCUACCUGGUCUGAGAGGAUGAUCAGCCACACUGGGACUGAGACACGGCCCAGACUCCUACGGGAGGCAGCAGUGGGGAAUAUUGCACAAUGGGCGAAAGCCUGAUGCAGCCAUGCCGCGUGUGUGAAGAAGGCCUUAGGGUUGUAAAGUACUUUCAGCGGGGAGGCGUUACCCGCAGAAGAAGCACCGGCUAACUCCGUGCCAGCCGCCGCGGUAAUUC
rnacentral:rRNA from 1 species